AGGACGAACGCUGGCGGCGUGCUUAACACAUGCAAGUCACGGGGGCUCGCAAGAGCAACCGGCGAACGGGUGCGUAACACGUGAGCAACCUGCCGAUCUGAGGGGGAUAGCCGGCCCAACGGCCGGGUAAUACCGCAUACGUUUUCCGAGGGACAUCCUUUGGGAAAGAAACCUCCGGGGCAGAUCGAGGGGCUCGCGGCCUAUCAGCUAGUUGGUGAGGUAACGGCUCACCAAGGCGACGACGGGUAGCUGGUCUGAGAGGAUGGCCAGCCACAUUGGGACUGAGAGACGGCCCAGACUCCUACGGGAGGCAGCAGUGGGGAAUCUUGCGCAAUGGCCGAAAGGCUGACGCAGCGACGCCGCGUGUGGGAUGAAGCAUUUCGGUGUGUAAACCACUGUUGCCCGGGACGAACAUCCUCUUUCGAGAGGACUGACGGUACCGGGUGAGGAAGCACCGGCUAACUCCGCGCCAGCAGCCGCGGUAA
rnacentral:rRNA from 1 species